AGUCUAUUCUGUAUUCAGGUAAACAACCACCACCUGUUCACCCCCUCUCCUCCAAAAGAGGAAAAAAAGAAUUUUUCCUUUGAUGACAGCAACACAUGACCCAGGAAGGUUGUGACAGAAAUAAAGUUUACAGAAGUCGUGUUCCUGCGAUAAGAAAUAAAGAUGUGACCUUCCAGUUGUGUAAAGCUCUUAAAUGCUGUGUAAGUGCGUCGGGUGCGCUAAGGACCCUGGAGCUAAAUGGGCUAGUUCUGAGAGAGAGAGACUUAACUAUGUUAACAAGCUGCCAAGCAGUAACGGCUGUCUUUGUACUGAAUCCCGGAAGUGUCUCUGUAUCCUGGAAGUAUUGCAAUGAUCGUCUUCACACCUGCAAAAUAUUCCUGCACCGUGUACACAAAUGAUUAUGGCUCCGCUCUCGGGCCUCACCUGGGAGCUACUGCAUGUGAGGAUCAAAUUGAUACACAUUAGGGCAUCCUCAGCGGUCUUUGGCAAAGGCCUAUAGAUUACCUCGCUAUCCAAUUUGUUAACUGGACAGCAGAGCCUGAGUGGAAAGAACAAUGCGCUCGUCAGUUGGGAAAAGCUCCUCCAGGUAUCAACAGAUACAAGCAAGGCAAUCUCACUGUGCAGGUUGAUUAGAACUGGGUUUGUAUUUUGGACAAUAAACUCUAUUUAUGAUAGUCUCCCAGUCAUUAAGUAUCUCUGCUGUAAGAGAAAACGGGGGCUAUUAACUUCUCCAGAUAGAACCCCAGGGAAAAGUGAUCAUUUCUUUUCUAAGCAGAAGGGAAGGUUCUGCUCAAUAAAGAUCAAUUAAACAUCUCUGUUAAAAGACUGCUUGGAGCUGGUGCCAAAGGAAAUUCCACUGUAUUAACCCGUGCUCCCUCCAACCCUCCCCACCUCUGUAGCUUGCACUGGGGAAAAUUGUAAGAGGACGCUGGCUAUUGUAAGCUUUAUAAGGUGACAGUAGCUCUCACAUCCGUGGCUGAAUGAUCUUUGAUGUUGAGUGACUUUUCCUGCAUUUAGCAGGGGUAUUCCCAGAGGAUGGCAGGCAAAUCAAACGCUCCUCUGAAUUCAGCUGCUAGCAUCAAUCAUCCUCAUGAGGGAGUUAAAAAAAAGAAUAUAACAAUAGGUACCGGGAAAAAUGAUAUGGUGGUCUGAGCUAGUAAUUCCCAGGAUGCAGGAAGAGUUUUGGGGGCCCUAGAAAAUCCACUGCAUAAAGAAAACCCGCCACAAUCUCCACCAGCAUCUUAUAGUUACCACCUCAUUCUUGUCCUUUAAAAUACAGUGUGCUUGUCCUUUAAAAUACAGUGUGUCUUGUACGUUAAAAUACAGUGUGCUUCUACUCUCUGGCUUAGACUGCAUCCUCUCAUGUAAAUUCCAUCUGUUCUUGCUUGAGGGAGGGCAGACACAACCUUGACUUUAUCCUCUUGAUGAGAGUGAUGUUUCAUGGUGUUGGGAGGAUUUUCAUUGGGUCAAUUGCCUGAUUGAGACAUAGCCUUAGUGAGGUGACAAAUAGCAGGCAUUAAUGUCUCUUUUUUAAUGGUAUGAUGAAUGGUCUAAGAGAAGGGUCAGCAAACUGUAGCCAGCCGCCUGUUUUCGUAAAUAAAUUAUUGGACCACA